GGGGAGUGAUCGAUAAUGGCGACAACAGUUUCACAGCUUAGGGUAGGUCCCGUACUCAUGUCACCAAAGCAUCAUUCUUUUUAUUCAUCAACGAGACAGUUCUCGUCCAACAAUUUCUUCCUCCUGAAGAAGAAAUUCGACGAAAAUCGACCAAAUUUUCCCAAAUUGCGACUUGUUUUCCCCAAGAGCCAUUCAAUUUUAAGGUGCGGGUUGAGUACUAACUGCAGCAAAGCAAAUAUUUUUCCAACUCGUAGUUUACAAAAAGAUCUUCUUUUUGUUGUGAAGAACUUCAUAAAUACUUGUUCAAUUCAGAAACUUUUCCAAGAUUCUGUUUUUAAUGGUCCAUUAGUUCCAGUGCUGAAAAAACUAAUUUGAUUAAAGUAGCUCAAGAAGUAUAGAUUUUCUUUUAUUGUUCUUUCCUCCUCCUCUUCUACUUGAAUCACGGCCCCUGCUUCUUAUUCAGUACGUAAAACUAUAAAAAAAAAAGUUUUAGUUUCUAGUAUUUUACUUAUUAAUAUGUAACCGAUCAAUUCUUCCAAUCUUAUUAUGAUACAAUUUUACACAAUUAUAAAUUAGACUCAAUUAAUUUUGAAAUUUAAUUUUAUUAAAUUAAUAAUGCAUAUUAAUUAUAUUAUUGGCCCAUGUAAAUUAAUAACUAAAUGGAUUCAAUUUUACACAGUUAUAAAGUAGACCCAAUUAAUUUUAAGAUUUAAUUUUAUUAAAUUAAUAAUACUUAUUAACUAUUAUUAGUCUGAAUAAAUUAAUAACUAAUUUGAUCCAUUUAACACUCGAACAAAAUUGGUCAUCAAAUUCAAAAGAACCGACUCUAAUUCAAAUCAGUGAGCUUUCUGGGCUGGUAGUGAUCGAUAAUGGCGACAACUGUUUCACAGCUUAGGGUAGGUCCCGUACUUAUGUCACCAAAGCAUCAUUCUUUUUAUUCAUCUAUGAGACUGUUUUCGUCCGACAAUUUCUUCCUCCUGAAGAAGAAAUUCGACAAAAAUCGACCAAAUUUCCCAAAUUGCGACUUGUUUUCCCCAAGAGCCAUUCAAUUUUAAGGUGCGGGUUGAGUAAUAACUGCAGCAAAGAAAAUAUUUUUCCAACUCGUAGUUUACAAAAAGAUCCUAUUUUUGUUGUGAAGAAAUUCAUAAAUCCUUGUUCAAUUCAGAAACUUUUCCAAGAUUCUGUUUUUAAUGGUCAAUUAGUUCCAGUGC
rnacentral:lncRNA from 1 species